GAGAGUGCAGGCGGUUUUCUAAGUCUGAUAUGAAAGCCUUCGGCUUAACCGGAGAAGUGCAUCGGAAACUGGAUAACUUGAGUGCAGAAGAGGGUAGUGGAACUACCAUGUGUAGCGGUGGAAUGCGUAGAUAUAUGGAAGAACACCAGUGGCGAAGGCGGCUACCUGGUCUGCAACUGACGCUGAGACUCGAAAGCAUGGGUAGCGAACAGGAUUAGAUACCCUGGUAG
rnacentral:rRNA from 1 species